AUACGGAGGGUGCAAGCGUUGUCCGGAUUUAUUGGGUUUAAAGGGUGCGUAGGUGGCCUUAUAAGUCAGUGGUGAAAGCCUGCAGCUUAACUGUAGGACUGCCAUUGAUACUGUAAGGCUUGAGUACUGAUGAGGUAGGCGGAAUUGAUAGUGUAGCGGUGAAAUGCAUAGAUAUUAUCAAGAACACCGAUUGCGAAGGCAGCUUACUAAGGAGUUACUGACACUGAGGCACGAAAGCGUGGGGAUC
rnacentral:rRNA from 1 species